rnacentral:rRNA from 1 species
AGUUUGAUCCUGGCUCAGAUUGAACGCUGGCGGCAGGCCUAACACAUGCAAGUCGAGCGGGGUUUUCGGACCUAGCGGCGGACGGGUGAGUAAUGCGUAGGAAGCUACCCGAUAGAGGGGGAUACCAGUUGGAAACGACUGUUAAUACCGCAUAAUGUCUACGGACCAAAGUGUGGGACCUUCGGGCCACAUGCUAUCGGAUGCGCCUACGUGGGAUUAGCUAGUUGGUGGGGUAAUGGCUCACCAAGGCGACGAUCCCUAGCUGGUUUGAGAGGAUGAUCAGCCACACUGGAACUGAGACACGGUCCAGACUCCUACGGGAGGCAGCAGUGGGGAAUAUUGGACAAUGGGCGCAAGCCUGAUCCAGCCAUGCCGCGUGUGUGAAGAAGGCCUUCGGGUUGUAAAGCACUUUCAGCGAGGAGGAAGGGUUAGUAGUUAAUAGCUGCUAAUUUUGACGUUACUCGCAGAAGAAGCACCGGCUAACUCUGUGCCAGCAGCCGCGGUAAUACAGAGGGUGCAAGCGUUAAUCGGAAUUACUGGGCGUAAAGCGCACGUAGGCGGUUUUUUAAGUCAGAUGUGAAAGCCCCGGGCUCAACCUGGGAAUUGCAUUUGAAACUGGAAAACUAGAGCGUGUGAGAGGGGGGUAGAAUUCCAAGUGUAGCGAUG